AUUGAGCGCUGGCGGCAGGCCUAACACAUGCAAGUCGAGCGGAUGAAGGGAGCUUGCUCCUGGAUUCAGCGGCGGACGGGUGAGUAAUGCCUAGGAAUCUGCCCGGUAGUGGGGGAUAACGUCCGGAAACGGGCGCUAAUACCGCAUACGUCCUGAGGGAGAAAGUGGGGGAUCUUCGGACCUCACGCUAUCAGAUGAGCCUAGGUCGGAUUAGCUAGUUGGUGGGGUAAAGGCCUACCAAGGCGACGAUCCGUAACUGGUCUGAGAGGAUGAUCAGUCACACUGGAACUGAGACACGGUCCAGACUCCUACGGGAGGCAGCAGUGGGGAAUAUUGGACAAUGGGCGAAAGCCUGAUCCAGCCAUGCCGCGUGUGUGAAGAAGGUCUUCGGAUUGUAAAGCACUUUAAGUUGGGAGGAAGGGCAGUAAGUUAAUACCUUGCUGUUUUGACGUUACCAACAGAAUAAGCACCGGCUAACUUCGUG
rnacentral:rRNA from 1 species